rnacentral:rRNA from 1 species
UUGACCUCGGAUCAGGUAGGGAUACCCGCUGAACUUAAGCAUAUCAAUAAGCGGAGGAAAAGAAACCAACAGGGAUUGCCCUAGUAACGGCGAGUGAAGCGGCAACAGCUCAAAUUUGAAAUCUGGCUCUUUCAGAGUCCGAGUUGUAAUUUGCAGAGGGCGCUUUGGCUUUGGCAGCGGUCCAAGUUCCUUGGAACAGGACGUCACAGAGGGUGAGAAUCCCGUACGUGGUCGCUAGCUAUUGCCGUGUAAAGCCCCUUCGACGAGUCGAGUUGUUUGGGAAUGCAGCUCUAAAUGGGAGGUAAAUUUCUUCUAAAGCUAAAUAUUGGCCAGAGACCGAUAGCGCACAAGUAGAGUGAUCGAAAGAUGAAAAGCACUUUGGAAAGAGAGUCAAACAGCACGUGAAAUUGUUGAAAGGGAAGCGCUUGCAGCCAGACUUGCUUGCAGUUGCUCAUCCGGGCUUUUGCCCGGUGCACUCUUCUGCAGGCAGGCCAGCAUCAGUUUGGGCGGUGGGAUAAAGGUCUCUGACACGUUCCUUCCUUCGGGUUGGCCAUAUAGGGGAGACGUCAUACCACCAGCCUGGACUGAGU